GAGGAGGUACUGUAUGUGUGGGAGGAGCUCAGUAUUUUGUAAACUCCAGCAGAAUAAAUCAGAGACAACACCUUCAUACAGAUACUGAGACCAGUCUGAACUCAAACGACAGAAUCAUGUUACUCAUCUCUUCUGUUUUCAUUUUUAUUCUUAGUUACUGUGAAUCUAAUGGGGAUGUCAUCAGACCAAACCAACCAUUUGUAGUUUUAACUGAAGGAAGCAACACCACUCUGUCCUGUACAUAUGAUGGAUCAGCUUACAGUCUCCAUUGGUAUCGGCAGCAGCCUGGAUCAAAACCAGAGUUUCUACUGCUGAUUGUUGAGUCUACUAAAACUGUAGUUCCAGCUUCUCCACCUCACCCGCAUAUGUCCAUCAGACACCAUGAUAAUAAAACUGUGGAUCUGGAGAUCUCCUCUGCUACUGUAUCAGACUCUGCCAUGUACUACUGUGCCCUGCAGCCCACAGUGACAGGAAAACAAUCUACACAGUACAAAAACCUUCUUGUCAUUUUCCUGUUGCAUAUUCAUAUUUCUCCACCGUAAUCUCUGAGAUAUUCCAUUAUGCUGCCGAUCUAUAUGGCAUUAAACGUACAUUAC